UUAUUAUUGUGUUUUUUGUGUUUCUUUUUGCGUUUGUGCCAAGGAAAACCGUUAUGAUUAGUCUUGGGGAUGACCGUUUGAUCAUGCUGGAAAAGACAGAAACUUUCUACUCACGAAAAGAAUUUUCAUUUUUUUCUUCUGUAAGAGCUUUUGAGUUGAUUCUUUUUUCUACUGAUUGCCACGCAAAUUCUUUAGACUGUAGUAAUGUUUCAGAAUUUUGGAAGUAACAGAAGUAUACGAAGUAUACAGAUUGCUACAGACUGGUGUGUUGUUAACAGAUUCUGUUUUUGUUGUGUUUGUUGCUUAUUUUGAUGAAACUAUGGAUAGUAUCGGGGGGUAUUAGCCAUGGAAUAUUGAAAAUACAGUAACCCAACAUCAAAACUAGUAGAAUUUAAGUUUUCUACAGUACCUAAGGAAGUGGUGGUUUGCUUUCUUGUACUAAUGUUAUCACGAGUUUCUGUUUAAGUUUCGUGUUGUGAAGUUUUCAAGUUUUGGGU
rnacentral:lncRNA from 1 species